UACGUAGGGGGCAAGCGUUGUCCGGAUUUAUUGGGCGUAAAGAGCGUGUAGGCGGCUUGGUAGGUCCGCUGUGAAAACUCGAGGCUCAACCUCGAGAUGUCGGCGGAAACCACUUGGCUAGAGUCCGGAAGAGGAGAGUGGAAUUCCCGGUGUAGCGGUGAAAUGCACAGAUAUCGGGAAGAACACCUAUGGCGAAGGCAGCUCUCUGGGACGGUACUGACGCUGAGACGCGAAAGCGUGGGGAGCGAACAGG
rnacentral:rRNA from 1 species